UCCGGUUUGUCACCGGCAGUCCCAUUAGAGUGCUCAACUGAAUGUAGCAACUAAUGGCAAGGGUUGCGCUCGUUGCGGGACUUAACCCGACAUCUCACGAUACGAGCUGACGACAGCCAUGCAGCACCUGUCUCUCGGCCCCCGAAGGGGAGACCCUAUCUCUAGGGCUGUCCGAGGAUGUCAAAUCCAGGUAAGGUUCUUCGCGUUGCAUCGAAUUAAACCACAUGCUCCACCGCUUGUGCGGGCCCCCGUCAAUUCCUUUGAGUUUUAACCUUGCGGCCGUACUUCCCAGGCGGGGUACUUAAUGCGUUAGCUGCGACACUGCAGGGGUCAAUUCCCGCAACAUCUAGUACCCAUCGUUUACAGCGUGGACUAC
rnacentral:misc_RNA from 1 species